AGCAACGCAUUAAUUAGCGAGCUAAAUUUUAAAACAUAAGGGAGGGAAAUUGGGGCGCAAAUUGAAGGUUGUGCGCAAGGGAAGGAUUCAGCGCGCAAUUUCCCCAUUCACACAACAUGGCGCUGAUCCAUUUUUCUAUUCGGGCCCACGCGCGGACCCUUAUGGUCAUGGGCAGCACUGUUUUGUAUUUCAGACCAUUUUAAACCAUUUUUCCCUUCCUUUCCUUUUAAAUACCCAUCCAUUUUAACAAAAACCAGCAGCCUUGAAAUUAAAUUUGCUAGGGUUCCUUUUACAAGCAGCUGAAUCUCCAUCGGAUUUGGUGUCCAGCGGCGCGCAAAACAAUUCCUGAUUCUGUUGCUGUAAGUAUUCGACCAUGCCUUGAGGAAAUUAGUACAGAGUCUGUUGGCAUGCGCACGGGGUGGGGGCGUGGCGUACAAGGGCUGUGGAGGUAUGGGACUGCUGUAGUGGAGGUAUGGGUCUAUUGCCCAGUUGCUGUUGAGGCGCAGAAGAGAGGGGUGACUUAGGGUUUGCCGAAACUUGGCUCAAUUUUUGGGGCCGUUUGGGUCUGUUCCAGUUAUUGGGCCGUUGUAUUUGGGCUAUGGGGCAUUGGGUAUCAAUAUUGGUUGUAAUAUUUGGACCUUUAUGACAGACUAUUAGUUUGGUUUUAUUCUUUGGACUUUUGGUUUAAUAA